rnacentral:tRNA from 1 species
GGUAGGGUGGCUGACUAUAGGCGGUAAAUUGUAAAUUUAUUUAUGAGAAAUAUCUCUUCUAUCA